AAUUUGAAAAUUUUAAGGAAAGAACAAUUAACAGUCUGUUUUUGAUACAAAAUGAAGGAAAUAUGAAGAAAAGUCACCACUUGUUUACCAUCAUUUUCAACACACCUUUUUUCUUUUCUCCAAAGUCAAUCUUGCUGCCAUUUCAGACAACUACGUAAAGAAACAUAUUUGUCCAUAGUGUUAAAUGUUUUUCAAGUAUCCUAUACAUUUUGUUUAAGAUUUGGAUUUGAACCUUGACAGUUUUUUGAAAGUAAAUAGACUUUAGGAAUGCAUUCUUCAAAAUACAAGCUUCUAUAUACUGUAAUUGAAAAUUUUAAAAUGUAGAUACGUAAAUUCUUGAAACAAAAAAAUAUAUAUAAUAAG